UAAAGUGUACCAUAAGUUUGGACUUUGUGGGAUUAUUUGAUUGGCUAUUAGACACGUAUGUCUCCUUCUUUUUGCAGCAAACGAUGUGUAAUCCACUUUGAUGUUAAAUUGUUAUCUUCAGUCUCUGUACAAAUAGUAACAAACAUAAGCUCAUUCACUUCCAUCUCAUUCCAUUUUCAGGCCUGCAUUUAUUUUGAGAACAAAGAAAAGAAAUUGCAAAGACGAGAUGCGCGUAGAGAAGGAGCAGAGGAAGCAUUUAAAUUCCAACAAUCUACCAUUUGAUGGACUAAUACUUAAUGUGUUGUUUUAUGACAAAUAUGACUUUAUUAUCUUUUAAUACAUGUUGAUUUCUUA